rnacentral:rRNA from 1 species
GAUGAACGCUGGCGGCGUGCCUAAUACAUGCAAGUCGAGCGAACAGACAAGGAGCUUGCUCCUCUGACGUUAGCGGGGGACGGGUGAGUAACACGUGGAUAACCUACCUAUAAGACUGGGAUAACUUCGGGAAACCGGAGCUAAUACCGGAGAAUAUAUUGAACCGGAUGGUGCAAUAGUGAAAGGCGGCUUUGCUGUCACUUAUAGCUGGAUCCGCGUCGGAUUAGCUAGUUGGUAAGGUAACGGCUUACCAAGGCAACGAUGCGUAGCCGAGCUGAGAGGAUGAUCAGCCACACUGGAACUGAGACACGGUCCAGACUCCUACGGGAGGCAGCAGUAGGGAAUCUUGCGCAAUGGGCGAAAGCCUGACGGAGCAACGCCGCGUGAGUGAUGAAGGUCUUCGGAUCGUAAAACUCUGUUAUUAGGAAAGAACAGCUGCGUAAGUAACUAUGCACGUCUUGACGGUACCUAAUCAGAAAGCCCCGGCUAACUACGUG